rnacentral:rRNA from 1 species
UACGUAGGGUGCGAGCGUUGUCCGGAAUUAUUGGGCGUAAAGAGCUCGUAGGCGGUUUGUCGCGUCGGCCGUGAAAUCUCCACGCUUAACGUGGAGCGUGCGGUCGAUACGGGCAGACUUGAGUUCGGUAGGGGAGACUGGAAUUCCUGGUGUAGCGGUGAAAUGCGCAGAUAUCAGGAGGAACACCGGUGGCGAAGGCGGGUCUCUGGGCCGAUACUGACGCUGAGGGGCGAAAGCGUGGGGAGCGAACAGG